rnacentral:rRNA from 1 species
UAGGGAAUCUUCGGCAAUGGCCGGAAGUCUGACCGAGCAACGCCGCGUGAGUGAAGAAGGUUUUCGGAUCGUAAAGCCCUGUUGUUAGAGAAGAACGUUGGUAGGAGUGGAAAAUCUACCAAGUGACGGUAACUAACCAGAAAGGGACGGCUAACUACGUGCCAGCAGCCGCGGUAAUACGUAGGUCCCGAGCGUUGUCCGGAUUUAUUGGGCGUAAAGCGAGCGCAGGCGGUUCUUUAAGUCUGAAGUUAAAGGCAGUGGCUUAACCAUUGUACGCUUUGGAAACUGGAGGACUUGAGUGCAGAAGGGGAGAGUGGAAUUCCAUGUGUAGCGGUGAAAUGCGUAGAUAUAUGGAGGAACACCGGUGGCGAAAGCGGCUCUCUGGUCUGUAACUGACGCUGAGGCUCGAAAGCGUGGGGAGCAAACAGG